AGUCUUCUCUCCAAUGCACUGCCAAUAGAACACAUCGCAAAUCUAUAUGGCGUGUCAAGGCGAACGUUUUACAGGCGAAUGAGUGAGUGCAACUUAUCUGUCCGUGGUUGCUAUUCAACCUUAUCGGAUAAUGAAUUGGACAGUGUGGUGAGGUCAAUAAAGACAAGAAUGCCUCACGCUGGAUACAGACUGGUGAAAGGCGAGCUGUUAGCUAGAGGCCAUCGGCUGCCAUGGCGCAGAGUGAAGAGCAGUGUACAGCGUGUGGAUGGAGCGGGGGUUUUGGCCAGGAUGAUACAGGUUGGGUGUGUAGCUCGCAGAACAUACAGCGUACCUGCCCCUCUGUCCUUGGUCCAUGUGGACACUAACCAUAAGCUAAUCAGAUUUAACAUGGUUAUUUUCUGUGGGAUCGAUGGCUUUUCAAGGAGGAUUAUAUACCUUGAUGCGGCAG